UACGUAGGUGGCAAGCGUUGUCCGGAUUUACUGGGUGUAAAGAGCGCGCAGGCGGUCGAUUAAGUCGAGUGUGAAAGCCCCCGGCUCAACUGGGGAGGGUCACUUGAUACUGGUCGACUCGAAGGCAGGAGAGGGAAGUGGAAUUCCCGGUGUAGUGGUGAAAUGCGUAGAUAUCGGGAGGAACACCAGUGGCGAAGGCGACUUCCUGGCCUGUUCUUGACGCUGAGGCGCGAAAGCUAGGGGAGCAAACGGG
rnacentral:rRNA from 1 species